UACGUAGGGUGCGAGCGUUGUCCGGAAUUAUUGGGCGUAAAGAGCUUGUAGGCGGUUUGUCGCGUCUGCUGUGAAAAUCCGGGGCUCAACCCCGGACUUGCAGUGGGUACGGGCAGACUGGAGUGUGGUAGGGGAGACUGGAAUUCCUGGUGUAGCGGUGGAAUGCGCAGAUAUCAGGAGGAACACCGGUGGCGAAGGCGGGUCUCUGGGCAACAACUGACGCUGAGGAGCGAAAGCGUGGGUAGCAAACAGG
rnacentral:rRNA from 1 species